rnacentral:rRNA from 1 species
GACGAACGCUGGCGGCGUGCUUAACACAUGCAAGUCGAGCGGAAAGGCCCUUCGGGGUACUCGAGCGGCGAACGGGUGAGUAACACGUGAGUAACCUGCCCUUGGCUCUGGGAUAAGCCCGGGAAACUGGGUCUAAUACCGGAUAUGACUCCCUGCCGCAUGGUGGGGGGUGGAAAGUUUUUCGGCUGGGGAUGGACUCGCGGUCUAUCAGCUUGUUGGUGGGGUAAUGGCCUACCAAGGCGACGACGGAUAGCCGGCCUGAGAGGGUGACCGGCCACACUGGGACUGAGACACGGCCCAGACUCCUACGGGAGGCAGCAGUGGGGAAUAUUGCGCAAUGGGCGAAAGCCUGACGCAGCGACGCCGCGUGGGGGAUGAAGGCCUUCGGGUUGUAAACCUCUUUCACCACCGACGAAGCUAACGUGACGGUAGGUGGGGAAG